rnacentral:rRNA from 1 species
GACGAACGCUGGCGGCGUGCUUAACACAUGCAAGUCGAACGGAAAGGCCCUGCUUUUGUGGGGUGCUCGAGUGGCGAACGGGUGAGUAACACGUGAGUAACCUGCCCUUGACUUUGGGAUAACUUCAGGAAACUGGGGCUAAUACCGGAUAGGAGCUCCUGCUGCAUGGUGGGGGUUGGAAAGUUUCGGCGGUUGGGGAUGGACUUGCGGCUUAUCAGCUUGUUGGUGGGGUAGUGGCUUACCAAGGCUUUGACGGGUAGCCGGCCUGAGAGGGUGACCGGCCACAUUGGGACUGAGGUACGGCCCAGACUCCUACGGGAGGCAGCAGGUGGGAAUAUUGCACAAUGGGCGGAAGCCUGAUGCAGCAACGCCGCGUGCGGGAUAACGGCCUUCGGGUUGUGAACAGCUUUCGCCUGUGACGAGGCGUGAGUGACGGUAAUGGGUAAAGAAGCACCGGCUAACUACGUG